GGGUAAGUAGGUUGGUCGUGCCACCGGUACGUACUGGUCUCACUGAUUCCUCCUUCCUGAAGAACCGUAAUGCCAUUAAUUUGGUGUUGCGGGGAAACAGGACUGUUACUUUGAAAAAAUUAGAGUGUUUAAAGCAAGCUAACGCUUGAAUACAUUAGCAUGGGAUAAUGAAAUAGGACGAUCGAUCCUAUUUUGCUGGUUUCUAGGAUCGACGUA
rnacentral:rRNA from 1 species